rnacentral:rRNA from 1 species
AUUGAACGCUGGCGGAAUGCUUUACACAUGCAAGUCGAACGGCAGCACGGGGGCAACCCUGGUGGCGAGUGGCGAACGGGUGAGUAAUACCUAGGAACAUGUCCAGUAAUGGGGGAUAACGCAGCGAAAGCUGUGCUAAUACCGCAUACGCCCUACGGGGGAAAGCGGGGGAUUCGCAAGAACCUCGCGUUAUUGGAGUGGCCUAGGCCUGAUUAGCUAGUUGGUGAGGUAAAGGCUCACCAAGGCGACGAUCAGUAGCUGGUCUGAGAGGAUGAUCAGCCACACUGGAACUGAGACACGGUCCAGACUCCUACGGGAGGCUG